UCGUAACAAGGUCUCCGUUGGUGAACCAGCGGAGGGAUCAUUACCGAGUUUUCAACUCCCAAACCCUUUUGUGAACAUACCUAUCGUUGCUUCGGCGGACUCGCCCCAGCGUCCGGCCGGCCCCGCGCCGGCCGCGGCCUGGAUCCAGGCGGCCGCCGGAGACCCCCAAACUCUGUAUUCUCAGUAUCUUCUGAAUCCGCCGCAAGGCAAAACAAAUGAAUCAAAACUUUCAACAACGGAUCUCUUGGUUCUGGCAUCGAUGAAGAACGCAGCGAAAUGCGAUAAGUAAUGUGAAUUGCAGAAUUCAGUGAAUCAUCGAAUCUUUGAACGCACAUUGCGCCCGCCAGCAUUCUGGCGGGCAUGCCUGUUCGAGCGUCAUUUCAACCCUCGACUUCCCUUUGGGGAAAUCGGCGUUGGGGACCGGCCGUAUACCGCCGGCCCCGAAAUGAAGUGGCGGCCCGUCCGCGGCGACCUCUGCGUAGUAAUCCAACUCGCACCGGAACCCCGACGUGGCCACGCCGUAAAACCCCCGACUUCUGAACGUUGACCUCGGAUCAGGUAGGAAUACCCGCUGAACUUAAGCAUAUCAA
rnacentral:rRNA from 1 species